CAUUCUGGGAGCCAGCGCUUCCCUGUCGCCGCUCCCAGCUUCAGCAUUUGGUCCCGCGGGUGGUGCUGGGGCUGUUGUAAGGACUUGUGGAGGAUGGGAGCGCUGCGGAAGAUUGCCGGGCUUCUGCGUGGUUGCUAGGCUUCCCUUAGCCUCGUCAACCAGGAUUGGUCCGUGGGGCAACGCUAGACCCUCACCUGAAGCCCAUUCCUGUUCACGCCAGUCUGCUACUCCAGUCACCGUUAGGAAAACGUUGCCGGCCAGGCGCGUUAAGAACAGGAGCUCUGGGAUUAGAAUCUCAACAGUAACUACAAAUUUAAAUUCGCUGUGAACAUUAAAUGAGAUUAGCCAAGAAAAGUGAAGACAACUGGAAAAGCAUUGCAGUGACCUAAGGCAAAACAAACAAUCUAAUAUAUAUGUCAUUGGAGUCCCAGAUAAACAAUGGAAAACUGGGAAAGAAAAUAAAAUGUGAAGAAAUUAGGGUUGAUAAUCAGCAAAUUUGGAGAAAUACAACUUACAGAUGCAAGAAGGUCAGCAAACCUCCAAAGAGAAUAAAUGCAAAGAAAUUUACAGAGCAAAUUCUUGGAAGCAGUCCUUGUUACAAUGUGAC
rnacentral:lncRNA from 1 species